GUGAGGAAUUUUCCGCAAUGGGCGAAAGCCUGACGGAGCAAUGCCGCGUGAAGGAUGAAGGCCUAUGGGUUGUAAACUUCUUUUCUCAGAAAAGAAUUAUGACGGUAUCUGAGGAAUAAGCAUCGGCUAACUCUGUGCCAGCAGCCGCGGUAAGACAGAGGAUGCAAGCGUUAUCCGGAAUGAUUGGGCGUAAAGCGUCUGUAGGUUGUUUAAAAAGUAUUCUGUCAAAGAUUAGGGCUUAACCCUAGAUAGGCAGAAUAAACUUUUAAGCUAGAGUUUGGUAGAGGCAGAGGGAAUUCCAGGUGGAGCGGUGAAAUGCGUAGAUAUCGGGAGGAACACCAAAGGCGAAGGCACUCUGCUGGGCCAAUACUAACACUGAGAGACGAAAGCGAGGGGAGCAAAUGGGAUUAGAUACCCGAGUAGUCC
rnacentral:rRNA from 1 species